rnacentral:rRNA from 1 species
UACGGGGGGGGCAAGCGUUAUUCGGAAUUACUGGGCGUAAAGGGCUCGUAGGCGGCCAACUAAGUCAGACGUGAAAUCCCCAGGCUUAACCUGGGAACUGCGUCUGAUACUGGAUGGCUUGAAUUCGGGAGAGGGAUGCAGAAUUCCAGGUGUAGCGGUGAAAUGCGUAGAUAUCUGGAGGAAUACCGGUGGCGAAGGCGGCAGCCUGGACCGACAUUGACGCUGAGGAGCGAAAGCUAGGGGAGCAAACGGG